UGACGUGCUUUGAGCGACCUCGACGGUU
rnacentral:sRNA from 1 species